rnacentral:rRNA from 1 species
AUACGUAGGUGGCGAGCGUUGUCCGGAAUUACUGGGUGUAAAGGGCGUGUAGGCGGGGGAGUAAGUCAGAUGUGAAAUACCACGGCUCAACCGUGGGGGUGCAUCUGAAACUAUUUCUCUUGAGUGCUGGAGAGGAAAGCGGAAUUCCUAGUGUAGCGGUGAAAUGCGUAGAUAUUAGGAGGAACACCAGUGGCGAAGGCGGCUUUCUGGACAGCAACUGACGCUGAGGCGCGAAAGCGUGGGGAGCAAACAGGAUUAGAUACCCUGGUAGUCCACGCCGUAAACGAUGGAUACUAGGUGUAGGAGGUAUCGACCCCUUCUGUGCCGGAGUUAACACAAUAAGUAUCCCACCUGGGGAGUACGGCCGCAAGGCUGAA